AAAGCUCAAAUUUCAAACCUGACGGUCCUUGGCCCGCCCGGGUUGUAAACUAGAGAAGCGCCAUCCGUGCUGGACCAUGUACAAGUCUCCUGGAAUGGAGCAUCAUGGAGGGUGAGAAUCCCGUCUUUGACAUGGAAAUUCCAGGACAUUGUGAUGCGCUCUCGAAGAGUCGAGUUGUUUGGGAAUGCAGCUCCAAAUGGGUGGUAAAUUCCAUCUAAAGCUAAAUAUUGGCGAGAGACCGAUAGCGAA
rnacentral:rRNA from 1 species